rnacentral:rRNA from 1 species
AUUGAACGCUGGCGGCAUGCCUUACACAUGCAAGUCGAACGGUAACAGGUCUUCGGAUGCUGACGAGUGGCGAACGGGUGAGUAAUACACCGGAACAUGCCUAGUAGUGGGGGAUAACUACUCGAAAGAGUGGCUAAUACCGCAUGAGAUCUACGGAUGAAAGCAGGGGAUCGCAAGACCUUGUGCUACUAGAGCGGCCGAUGGCAGAUUAGGUAGUUGGUGGGAUAAAAGCUUACCAAGCCGACGAUCUGUAGCUGGUCUGAGAGGACGAUCAGCCACACUGGGACUGAGACACGGCCCAGACUCCUACGGGAGGCAGCAGUGGGGAAUUUUGGACAAUGGGCGCAAGCCUGAUCCAGCAAUGCCGCGUGCAGGAUGAAGGCCUUCGGGUUGUAAACUGCUUUUGUACGGAACGAAAAGCCCCGGGUUAAUACCCUGGGGUCAUGACGGUACCGUAAGAAUAAGCACCGGCUAACUACGUGCCAGCCGCCGCCGUAA